CUCACUUUGGAUUUUAUUGUUGACCCGGAAGGCGAGUGCGUCUUUAUGCCCCAACCAAAUGGAGGAAACGAUGAUUAUGCAACUGCAAACGGUGCUCCAAAUUCACGUGAUGCCUCCCUCGAUCAUUGUGAAAUAUUUGAGAAUUCAGCUUCCACAUCUGAAUCGCGAAUCCAGCAUGACGCAAACGCUAAGCAAACAUCAGAACAUGUUCCACUGGCUGAGAUAUCUACAUCAGUGUCUAAUAUAGAACCAGCGUAUGUACAAUCUGACGCAACGGAAGCACCGAAUGUGCUAUCUACCUUGACUUGCAAGCAGAAAGAUCCAUUCGAUAAAGUGCUGAUCUGGCCAAGA